rnacentral:rRNA from 1 species
GAUGAACGCUGGCGGCGUGCCUAAUACAUGCAAGUCGAGCGAACGGACGAGAAGCUUGCUUUUCUGAUGUUAGCGGCGGACGGGUGAGUAACACGUGGAUAACCUACCUAUAAGACUGGGAUAACUUCGGGAAACCGGAGCUAAUACCGGAUAAUAUUUUGAACCGCAUGGUUCAAAAGUGAAAGACGGUCUUGCUGUCACUUAUAGAUGGAUCCGCGCUGCAUUAGCUAGUUGGUAAGGUAACGGCUUACCAGGCAACGAUGCAUAGCCGACCUGAGAGGGUGAUCGGCCACACUGGAACUGAGACACGGUCCAGACUCCUACGGGAGGCAGCAGUAGGGAAUCUUCCGCAAUGGGCGAAAGCCUGACGGAGCAACGCCGCGUGAGUGAUGAAGGUCUUCGGAUCGUAAAACUCUGUUAUUAGGGAAGAACAUAUGUGUAAGUAACUGUGCACAUCUUGACGGUACCUAAUCAGAAAGCCACGGCUAACUACGUG